AGUUUGAUCAUGGCUCAGGAUGAACGCUGGCGGCGUGCCUAACACAUGCAAGUCGAACGAAGCACUCCGGUUGAGAUUCGUCAAGAACUGGAUUUGACUUAGUGGCGGACGGGUGAGUAAUGUAUGAGCAACCUGCCUUUCAGAGGGGGACAACAGUUGGAAACGACUGCUAAUACCGCAUAAUGUAUUGAGGAGGCAUCUCCACGAUACCAAAGGAGCAAUCCGCUGAAAGGUGGGCUCAUAUCUGAUUAGUUAGUUGGCAGGGUAACGGCCUACCAAGACUGCGAUCAGUAGCCGGACUGAGAGGUUGAACGGCCACAUUGGGACUGAGAUACGGCCCAGACUCCUACGGGAGGCAGCAGUGGGGAAUAUUGGGCAAUGGGCGAAAGCCUCGACCCAGCAACGCCGCGUGAAGGAAGAAGGUCUUCGGAUUGUAAACUUCUUUUAUGAGGGACGAAGGACGUGACGGUACCUCAUGAAUAAGCCACGGCUAACUACGUGCCAGCCGCGGC
rnacentral:rRNA from 1 species